UCCGGCAUGGUGUAGCGGUAACAUAGGUGCCUUUCAGUGAUUUCUGUCACGUGAUAUGAUUCGCACUUGCCCGGGGUUCGACUCCCCGUACCGGAA